UGAGUUUGAUCCUGGCUCAGAUUGAACGCUGGCGGCAUGCCUUACACAUGCAAGUCGAACGGUAACAGGUCUUCGGAUGCUGACGAGUGGCGAACGGGUGAGUAAUACAUCGGAACGUGCCCGAGAGUGGGGGAUAACGAAGCGAAAGCUUUGCUAAUACCGCAUACGAUCUCAGGAUGAAAGCAGGGGACCGCAAGGCCUUGCGCUCACGGAGCGGCCGAUGGCAGAUUAGGUAGUUGGUGGGAUAAAAGCUUACCAAGCCGACGAUCUGUAGCUGGUCUGAGAGGACGACCAGCCACACUGGGACUGAGACACGGCCCAGACUCCUACGGGAGGCAGCAGUGGGGAAUUUUGGACAAUGGGCGCAAGCCUGAUCCAGCCAUGCCGCGUGCAGGAUGAAGGCCUUCGGGUUGUAAACUGCUUUUGUACGGAACGAAAAGACUCUGGUUAAUACCUGGGGUCCAUGACGGUACCGUAAGAAUAAGCACCGGCUAACUACGUGCCAGCAGCCGCGGUAAUACGUAGGGUGCGAGCGUUAAUCGGAAUUACUGGGCGUAAAGCGUGCGCAGGCGGUUAUGUAAGACAGAUGUGAAAUCCCCGGGC
rnacentral:rRNA from 1 species